rnacentral:rRNA from 1 species
CUACGGGCCGCUGCAGUGGGGAAUAUUGCACAAUGGGGGAAACCCUGAUGCAGCAACGCCGCGUGGAGGAUGACACAUUUCGGUGCGUAAACUCCUUUUAUAGGUCAAGAUAAUGACGGUAGCCUAUGAAUAAGCGCCGGCUAACUCCGUGCCAGCAGCCGCGGUAAUACGGAGGGCGCAAGCGUUACUCGGAAUCACUGGGCGUAAAGAGCAUGUAGGCGGGUUAAUAAGUCAGAAGUGAAAUCCAAUAGCUCAACUAUUGAACUGCUUUUGAAACUGUUAACCUAGAGUGUGGGAGAGGUAGAUGGAAUUUCUGGUGUAGGGGUAAAAUCCGUAGAGAUCAGAAGGAAUACCGAUUGCGAAGGCGAUCUACUGGAACAUUACUGACGCUGAGAUGCGAAAGCGUGGGGAGCAAACAGGAUUAGAUACCCCCGUAGUC